AACGUAGGAGGCGAGCGUUAUCCGGAUUUACUGGGUGUAAAGCGCGUGCAGGCGGUCGUGUAAGUGGUGCGUGAAAGCUCCCGGCUCAACCGGGAGAGGACGUGCCAAACUGCAGGGCUAGAGGCAGGUAGAGGCGUGUGGAAUUCCGGGUGUAGUGGUGAAAUGCGUAGAGAUCCGGAGGAACACCAGUGGCGAAGGCGACACGCUGGGCCUGGCCUGACGCUCAGACGCGAAAGCAUGGGGAG
rnacentral:rRNA from 1 species